UGGGGAAUUUUGGACAAUGGGCGAAAGCCUGAUCCAGCAAUGCCGCGUGUGUGAAGAAGGCCUUCGGGUUGUAAAGCACUUUUGUCCGGAAAGAAAUCCUUGGCUCUAAUACAGUCGGGGGAUGACGGUACCGGAAGGAUAAGCACCGGCUAACUACGUGCCAGCAGCCGCGGUAAUACGUAGGGUGCAAGCGUUAAUCGGAAUUACUGGGCGUAAAGCGUGCGCAGGCGGUUUGCUAAGACCGAUGUGAAAUCCCCGGGCUCAACCUGGGAACUGCAUUGGUGACUGGCAGGCUAGAGUAUGGCAGAGGGGGGUAGAAUUCCACGUGUAGCAGUGAAAUGCGUAGAGAUGUGGAGGAAUACCGAUGGCGAAGGCAGCCCCCUGGGCCAAUACUGACGCUCAUGCACGAAAGCGUGGGGAGCAAACAGGAUUAGAUACCCUGGUAGUCCACGCCCUAAACGAUGUCAACUAG
rnacentral:rRNA from 1 species